rnacentral:rRNA from 1 species
GAUGAACGCUGGCGGCGUGCCUAAUACAUGCAAGUCGAGCGAACGGACGAGAAGCUUGCUUCUCUGAUGUUAGCGGCGGACGGGUGAGUAACACGUGGAUAACCUACCUAUAAGACUGGGAUAACUUCGGGAAACCGUAGCUAAUACCGGAUAAUAUUUUGAACCGCAUGGUUCAAAAGUGAAAGACGGUCUUGCUGUCACUUAUAGAUGGAUCCGCGCUGCAUUAGCUAGUUGGUAAGGUAACGGCUUACCAAGGCAACGAUGCAUAGCCGACCUGAGAGGGUGAUCGGCCACACUGGAACUGAGACACGGUCCAGACUCCUACGGGAGGCAGCAGUAGGGAAUCUUACGCAAUGGGCGAAAGCCUGACGGAGCAACGCCGCGUGAGUGAUGAAGGUCUUCGGAUCGUAAAACUCUGUUAUUAGGGAAGAACAUAUGUGUAAGUAACUGUGCACAGCUUGACGGUACCUAAUCAGAAAGCCACGGCUAACUACGUG